UACGAGUGCCUCAAGCGUUAUCCGGAAUCAUUGGGCGUAAAGGGUGCGUAGGUGGUUGUAUUAGUCUUCUGUUAAAUUCUUCGGCUUAACCGGGGGCAUGCAGAGGAAACGGUACAACUAGAGGAUGCGAGGGGUCUGCGGAACUCAUAGUGUAGCGGUGAAAUGCGUUGAUAUUAUGGGGAACACCAAAAGCGAAGGCAGCAGACUGGAGCACUCCUGACACUGAAACAAGAAAGCGUGGGUCGCGAAUGGG
rnacentral:rRNA from 1 species